rnacentral:rRNA from 1 species
UUGAGGGGCGUAGUGGUCUAAUAAGUCAGUGGUGAAAUCUCUUUGCUUAACAAGGAAAUUGCCAUUGAAACUGUUAGACUUGAGAAUGGACGAGGUAGGCGGAAUUCGUAGUGUAGCGGUGAAAUGCAUAGAUAUUACGAAGAACUCCAAUAGUGUAGACUGCUUACCAGACCAUAUCUGACACUAAGGCACGAAGGUGUGGGUAUCAAACUGGAUUAGAUACCCUGGUAGUCCACACAGUAAACGAUGAAUACUAACUGUUUGCGAUAUACAGCAAGUGGUCGAGCGAAAGCGUUAAGUGUUCCACCUGGGAAGUAUGCCGGCAACGGUGAAACUCAAAGGAAUUGACGGGGGCCCGCACAAGCGGAGGAACAUGUGGUUUAAUUCGAUAAUACGCGAGGAACCUUACCCGGGCUCGAACGAUAUUUGAAUACAUCCGAAAAGAUGUAGCUAGCAAUAGCAAAUACCGAGGUGCUGCAUGGUUGUCGUCAGCUCGUGCCGUGAGGUGUCGACUUAAGUGUCAUAACGAGCGCAACCCUUACCGAUAGUUACCAUCAGAUAAUGCUGGGGACUCUAUUGGGACUGCCACCGUAAGGUGUGAGGAAGGAGAGGAUGACGUCAAUUCAGCACGGCCCUUAUGUCCGGGGCGACACACGUGUUACAAUGGGAGAACCAAAGGGUCGCUACCUGGCACCAGGAUGCUAAUCUCGAAAAUCUCUCUCAGUUCGGAUUGGAGUCUGCAACUCGACUCCAUGAAGCUGGAUUCGCUAGUAAUCGCACAUCAGCCAUGGUGCGGUGAAUACGUUCCCGGGCCUUGUACACACCGCCCGUCAAGCCAUGGAAGCUGGAAGUACCUGAAGUAUGUAACUGAAAAGAGCGUCCUAAGUAAAA